CCUACGGGAGGCAGCAGUAGGGAAUAUUGGUCAAUGGAGGCAACUCUGAACCAGCCAUGCCGCGUGUAGGAAGAAGGGUUCUGCGUUGUAAACUACUUUUGUGAACGAUUGUGUACCAAUAGAAUAAGCCACGGCUAACUACGUGCCAGCAGCCGCGGUAAUACGUAGGUGGCAAGCGUUGUCCGGAUUUAUUGGGUUUAAAGGGUGCGUAGGCGGCUUGAUAAGUCAGUGGUGAAAGCCGAUCGCUUAACGAUCGAACUGCCAUUGAUACUGCCAGGCUUGAGUAUAGAUGAGGUAGGCGGAAUUGACAGUGUAGCGGUGAAAUGCAUAGAUAUUGUCAAGAACACCAAUUGCGAAGGCAGCUUACUAAUUUAACUGACGCUGAGGCACGAAAGUGCGGGGAUCAAACAGGAUUAGAUACCCUUGUAGUC
rnacentral:rRNA from 1 species